rnacentral:rRNA from 1 species
GAUGAACGCUGGCGGCGUGCCUAAUACAUGCAAGUCGAGCGAACAGACGAGGAGCUUGCUCCUCUGACGUUAGCGGCGGACGGGUGAGUAACACGUGGAUAACCUCCCUAUAAGACUGGGAUAACUUCGGGAAACCGGAGCUAAUACCGGAUAAUAUAUUGAACCGCAUGUUUCAAUAGUUAAAGACGGUUUUGCUGUCACUUAUAGAUGGAUCCGCGCCGCAUUAGCUAGUUGGUAAGGUAACGGCUUACCAAGGCAACGAUGCGUAGCCGACCUGAGAGGGUGAUCGGCCACACUGGAACUGAGACACGGUCCAGACUCCUACGGGAGGCAGCAGUAGGGAAUCUUCCGCAAUGGGCGAAAGCCUGACGGAGCAACGCCGCGUGAGUGAUGAAGGUCUUCGGAUCGUAAAACUCUGUUAUUAGGGAAGAACAAAUGUGUAAGUAACUAUGCACGUCUUGACGGUACCUAAUCAGAAAGCCACGGCUAACUACGUG